GACAGAGGGGGCAAGCGUUGUCCGGAGUUACUGGGCGUAAAGCGCACGCAGGCGGCACGGCAAGUGUGGUGUGAAACCCGCCGGCUUAACCGGUGGACGCCAUCGCAGACUGCCGCGCUCGAGCCGUUCAGAGGUCCCUCGAAUUGCCGGUGUAGUGGUGAAAUGCAUAGAGAUCAGGAAGAACACCGGUGGCGAAAGCGCUCUGCUAGGCCGCAACUGACACUGAGGGACGAAAGCUAGGGGAGCGAAUGGG
rnacentral:rRNA from 1 species